rnacentral:tRNA from 1 species
GGUGGCUCAGUGGUAGAGUGCUUGCCUUGCAAGCAUAAGGCCCUGGGUUCAAUUCCUCAGCACCA